rnacentral:rRNA from 1 species
GUCCACGCCUUAACGAUGAAUACUAGAUGUUGGGUUAAACUCAGUAUCGCAGCUAACGCAUUAAGUAUUCCACCUGGGGAGUACGAUCGCAAGGUUGAACUCAAAGGAAUUGACGGGGCCCGCACAAGCAGUGGAGCAUGUGGUUCAAUUCGAUGCAACGCGAAGAACCUUACCUAGGCUUGACAUGAUAGCUAAAGCCGGUGAAAGCCGGUGUCCCGCAAGGGGAGCUAUUACAGAUGCUGCAUGGCUGUCGU